GUCGUUUUGAAAAUUUUGUCUUGAGUUGUGAAUUUCAAUUCCCCCAAAAACUAUAGAGCGGCGAAUUUUUGAAUCGAUAUUUGCAAUCGGGUUUAUGUAUAUCAUUAAACACUGAGGUAAAAUACAUGAACGAUGGAAACGGAAAUAGUUACCAGCUGGGAUUAACCGCAGUAUGUAUGUGUAAGGCUAUUUUCUGAAUGAAAUCAGCACCAGCAGCUGCACGGAACCGCGAAACAACUCACUUGACGGUUCCUUUCACUCAAAUCCGACCUUGCGUGAAAGAAGCCAAAAAUAAGUAAAAUGUGAAAAAAUCCGGUGAGUACUUUGCCUUUACUCCCGUGUUGAAUUUUCACCCACUAUGAAGUUUCACCAACUCAAAUUUAUGUUAUUUUCACUCACUCGAGACUAUGGUGAAUACAACUCAAAUUUGGCUUCUUCCACGGAACAGCACACGUUGGGUCGAUGCAGCUCUCUUUGUUUAUAAUAACAUUCAUGAGAGGGAGUGAGAAAACUACCUAUUAUUGAGUUAAAAAUUUGAGCUUCGUACUCAAAGUUGAGUUCACUGGUAGAAAAAACAUUUUGAUUUCCAUAAGCUUUGCCUUAUGAAACCCUAUAAAUUCAUUUUAUUUUUUAUUCAUAAGGUACCGUUGAAAGCCAUAAGUCUGCCUUAUGAAAUGCAUAGUUUUUUCUUGCGUAAAAUAAUCAUAAGGCAUUCUUAUGAAUAGGCCUUGUUCAUUUCAGCGUUCAUCCUGACAGUUGUCAAAAAGCGCGUUUAUGUUUUCCAUGCAGAUGGAAACUUUUUGUUAUUUUAGCCAGACAGAUACUUUCACCCACCAUCAUCCAAAAGAACGAUUAACUGCUCAAGGCAGAUCAGAACUCAGAGGCAAUCAAAUCUGGAAGGAUUAAACCGCAUGAAAGUCCCCGCAACAACGGAAGCAUUAUGCAGUUUCAGCAUCUAUCCGCGGUGCACCUUUAGUGUUGGAUGCUCUCUCCACUGCGACAAGUAUGCUACACGGUUCACAGUCCCAAUAAUGGCCAACGUCUCGACCAUCGAAUUUUCUCUAAAACAACACUGAAAAUAAGGAUUCCAUGAUCUUGAUAUACUCUGUUUGGCAGCUGAGCUGAUGCUACAUCCGAACAGAGGAUGUAGAAAAAUAACUUCAAGGAUGAUCAGUACUAAUUCGAAGUGGCGAUAAACGGAAAUCGUAGGAGAUGCAAAGCCUGUAAGGGUACUAUCUACGAUGGAGACGAUGAGCAUCACAAGUACAUUCCGUUUGAGCAGCGUUUCUUCGACGGACAUGAACGAAACGGAAAUCGAACUCCUACUUAUUUCUGUCGGGAAUAUGCAGGGAAAGAGGACGAUAACAGCUGGUCUUGGUAAAAGCACUAUGGAAAGUCCAACU